rnacentral:lncRNA from 1 species
GAGAGACAAACACAGAUUUAUUGUAAGGAAUUGGCUCACACAACUAUGGAGGCUGGGAAGCCCAAAUUUCUUCAGUGUGGGCAAGCAAGCUCAAGACCUAGCAGAGCCAGUGGUGCAGUUCCAGUCUGAAGGCUGACAUCCCAGAGACCCAGGAAAGCUGAUGGUGCAGUUCAAGUCCAAAGGCUGGCAAGCAGAGAUCCAGGAGAGCUGAUGAUGUAGAUGAAACUCUGAAGGCCAUCUGCUGAAGAAUUUCUUCUUGUUUGGGAUGUUGGUCUUUUUCUUUUAUCUAGACAUUCAAGUUAUUAGAUGAGGCCCAUCUGCCUUAUGGAGGGCAAUUGCUUAUUCUGAGUUCAAUGAUUUAAUGUUAGUCUCAUCCAAAUAAAAUCAGUUAUCACAGAUGGAGACACCAAAUACAGCCUUGCUAAGCAUUGGCCAGCAAAAGCUUUUCCUGGAUGAAGAUUAUUCUUAGAUGAGAUGAAAAAAACUGAUUAGAAGUUGGCCAAGGAAUAUUGGAGGCAGGGGAAGCAAUGUGUCUCAAGGGCCAGAAAUAAAAGAAGUUCAUUUCAAGAUAUGGGUUAUAUAUUCAUGGGUAAAGGGAGAAGAAGCUGGUGACAUAAGAAAUGUAAGCUUUAUUCCAAGACUAACAGACAAGAAUAUGUCAUUCUUGAGUUAAUGAAAAUCAUGGAAAAGCAUGGGCACUUUCCAGGGAGAGUUAUGAUGUUUAAGUGACAGAAGAUGGUGAUGACUAAUUGUGAGGGUAAAUGGAGAGGGAGUCAGGCAAUGGUGAUGUCGAGUUUUGGCUUGAUCAAUGGAGAGACAAUGAAUAUACCAUUAAAUGAGAUUUUAAAAAACACUUUUACUUUACCCAUAUUCAGUUUGAGGUGUCUAUGAAGAAGUUGAACUUGGAUAAAUGACACUGAAAAGGCAAAACAAAACCUAUAAUUUCAAAUAGCUCAUUAUUAUAGAAAAAAUAAGUUGACAAAAAGGGAUCUGAAUUACAGAAAAAUUGGGAAAAAUUGCAUACAGAUAUCCUCAAUAUAUUUUAGAGUAAUUCCUUUAUCUCAUUAUUGUUAUUUGUUCAAGCUCAUUUGAAAAGAGCCUAGAAAUCUUUUCAGUUAGUCUGACAAAGUAGAAUUAAAUAC